GCCUGGGUGGCUCAGUUGGUUGAGCGUCUGACUUCAGCUCAGGUCAUGAUCUCGCAGUUCGUGAGUUUAAGCCCCACACUGGGCU
rnacentral:tRNA from 1 species